rnacentral:rRNA from 1 species
UACGUAGGGUGCAAGCGUUGUCCGGAAUUAUUGGGCGUAAAGAGCUCGUAGGCGGCUUGUCGCGUCGAAUGUGAAAUCUCAGGGCUCAACUCUGACAUUGCAUUCGAUACGGGCAGGCUCGAGUUCGGUAGGGGAGACUGGAAUUCCUGGUGUAGCGGUGAAAUGCGCAGAUAUCAGGAGGAACACCAGUGGCGAAGGCGGCUACCUGGACCGGUUCUGACGCUGAGGCGCGAAAGCGUGGGUAGCAAACAGG